rnacentral:tRNA from 1 species
AGUUAGGUGGUACAAUGGUUAGAGCACCAGCCCUGAAAUCAGGAGGACCUGAGUUCAAAUUUGGCCUAACUU